AAUGAACGCUGGCGGCAGGCCUAACACAUGCAAGUCGAACGAAGUCUUCGGACUUAGUGGCGGACGGGUGAGUAACGCGUGGGAACAUACCCAAAGGUACGGAAUAGCCUCGGGAAACUGGGAGUAAUACCGUAUGUGCCCUUCGGGGGAAAGAUUUAUCGCCUUUGGAUUGGCCCGCGUUGGAUUAGGUAGUUGGUGGGGUAAUGGCCUACCAAGCCGACGAUCCAUAGCUGGUUUGAGAGGAUGAUCAGCCACACUGGGACUGAGACACGGCCCAGACUCCUACGGGAGGCAGCAGUGGGGAAUCUUAGACAAUGGGCGCAAGCCUGAUCUAGCCAUGCCGCGUGAUCGAUGAAGGCCUUAGGGUUGUAAAGAUCUUUCAGAUGGGAAGAUAAUGACGGUACCAUCAGAAGAAGCCCCGGCUAACUCCGUG
rnacentral:rRNA from 1 species